AUACGGAGGAUGCGAGCGUUAUCCGGAUUUAUUGGGUUUAAAGGGUGCGUAGGCUGUGCGUUAAGUCAGGGGUGAAAUGCCGUCGCUCAACGACGGAGCUGCCCUUGAUACUGGCGUGCUGGAGUACGGAUGCCGUUGGAGGAAUGAGUGGUGUAGCGGUGAAAUGCUUAGAUAUCACUCAGAAAACCGAUUGCGAAGGCAUCUGACGAAUCCGUCACUGACGCUGAGGCACGAAAGCGUGGGGAUAGAACAGGAUUAGAUACCCUGGUAUUCCACGCCGUAAACGAUGAUGACUAACCGUCGGCGAUAGACAGCCGGUGGCCAAGCGAAAGCGAUAAGUCAUCCACCUGGGGAGUACGUCGGCAACGAUGAAACUCAAAUGAAUUGACGGGG
rnacentral:rRNA from 1 species